CAUAUUUUGCACAAAGAUUAUUACAGUCAUGUGUAGGGGGUGAAGACAAGAUGCAUUCCGUCACACCCAUUUGAUUGUUACCCAGCCAUUCUAUUGGAAAACCCAGUUGCUCUGUGUUCUGUUGAUGAUAGUAUUGCCAUAGAUAUUUUGUCAUUUCAGGAGGCAAAGAGACCUCUCCAGAGGACACCCCUGAUAACCUGGUGAGUGAGAGAGACAGGCAUUGUUGCUGUUUUUCACUGUGGAGUAGUCAGCCUUGUUUGGGAUGCCAAAUCUCAAAUGAUCAGACGCAGGCCAGUCAUCCUGGAGUAGGCCUGGUGAUGGAGAAAGCAGUUUUGAGGUCUAGGGGCUGUAACAGGGCACUGCUGGAGGGAAGUUCACACUGUUGGGAGUUUAAUCUGUCAUUGGCAGGACCUUGCUGUGCAGGCUCAGGGCAUCAAUAUGAGGGAGCUCUUGCUGGUCCUGCUGCCAGGGGGCUGGAAUUCAAGCAACAUGCUUGCAGUUUGCAGUGCUGCUGAGGCAGUCUCUUCACUAGCAUGUGUGAUUGGGAGGUGAGGAGGGAAGGAAAGGGUUCCAAGGAGGGCACUUUCUCCCCAGCGAAGGGCUGUUGUGAGCCAGCGUGGCCCUGUGUCUUUUCAGGUGAACGAUGUCAAGAUGAUCCUGUGGAAACUGGUGGCCACAGACCAGCUCCAGAGCCAGGGCUUUACCAAAUCAGAGCAGCCCCGACAGAAACCCAACAAACGAGACUGCUUCUGGAAGUACUGUGUCACCAACUGAGGCUGCCUGUCACAUGGCCAUCCCAACGGAGACAUGCACUUUCUGAGUCCUCCACCAAGAGUCCUCCACAAACUUGGCCCCCUUGGAUGCGUGUGCCCCUUCCUUGCCUGCCUUUGUGCCCCCCAGCCUCUCUGCAGCUGCCAUGGAAGAGCAUGCAUUGCUUUGUAAAUAGCAUUACAAAUAAUGAGGAUGUGUCGGUGGAAAGAGGAGAGCAUUUGUAAGAGGGUAAUUGGCUUAGUAUGUUGAGAGAAAGAACAGGGCUUGACUCUGUUCAGAUGAAAUAGUCCAUAUUGAAAUAUAGGCUAUAGUCCUGGGGCUGUAUGCCCCUGCCACAGCAUGCACAGAAACCCACUGAAGUCAAGUAUCCUGCAGUGUGAGAAUCAGGCAUCUGAUGCCUUUAAAGGUCCCCCCAUCCUGCAGUGUGAAUUCCACUGAAUAAUGCUGAGCUCCUGGAAAGAGACAUCCCUGUGCUGCACUACAGGAGGAAUGUGAAAGGGCUGGAACUGUUCCAGGCCUGUUUCAGCAUUGCAAAUUUCAGACAAACUAGGAAGACAAAAAAGCAUGACACAUGCUGGGCGUUUGUCAGUUUGUACUUGAGCCUGUCAGGUCCAUUGCAGAGAUCACAAGAUGGGAGUGCCCCAGGAUCAGCAGACAAUUAAGAAGAAAACUGAAUGAUCAAACUCUCAUGCUGAAAACCACAAGGCAGCUGCGCUGGUUUCCUGCCCAUCACAUGAUUGACUUGUAAAGCAGCUAAACCGUUCUUGUGGCUGUGUGGAUUAUAGCAAUGGAAUGGUGUAGCUGCUGAGGGAUAAAGGCCAGACUUGGUCUGGCAACAGAGACAGCUAAGUGGGAAAAAGAAAAACAAAACCCUUCACUGAUCAUUUUCCAGGCCUCCAGGAUAUGCACCUAGCAACUGUUCAUCUCACCAGGUUUGCUGCUGUUCAUUCCCCCAGCUCUAGCACUUGGUGGCUUACCCCCACUUGGAGCUAUUUUAUUUAAUAAACCCUGACACGUUUAAAACAUGGUCUUGAUUUCUUGUGUGUUUGGCUCUUUCUCUUUACUCUCUGAGUCCAUCUUGUUUAGUGUCUUUGGCCCCUCUACUUCCCUCCCUUACAUUGCACAGAGGAAACAGGUGGGAGUAAAUGAAGCAUAAAGGGCUCACAGAAAGACAGGAAAUGCUGCUGCAUAGUGCCAUCCGAUGGCUCUGCAUAGAAUGCACAGGCAACAUGGAUGUCCUUGCACACCAGGAACUGAACUGGGGCCCUCAAGAGCUAAAAGCACCAGUGGCUACAGCCUGCUGCUGCUGAACAGACUCAUGUUCGCCAUGGAUGGGGGACCAUGGUGAACAUGGUGAAAUGGGGGAUGGGGCCUCCCCCUCAAGGAGGAGUCAGGGACAAGUCCGUGGAUGCAGCAUAUUCCUCUCCCAAAUCCAAGCACAUGGUGCAGAAAGCAAGAGCAGAAGUUACUGACCAGCAGUAAGUGCCCUAUAUACUCUUCACCCUUCACGGGUGGCAUGGGCACUUCAGAUGCUAACAGGGGACUAAUAUCAGCACAGCAAAGGGACAAGCCAAAACCGAGGGGCCUGGGAGCCCUAUGGAGGGCCAUGAUCUCAACCAACGUGUGGUCAGCAGGCCCCGUCCUUUGCAGUAUUCCUACUGCCAGUGAGUGACAUCGUCAAUAAUGCCAAAGCUGUUGCUAUGCUGCUGUGGCUUCUCACUUUCUGAGGGGAGUACAGGGGCCAUGGAAUUCCUGUUCAUAUGACGCUGCUCUAUAGCGCUCGGGAUGCAGAGCAGAUGCAGUGUGCCACCCCAGAGCGGGCUGCCUUCCAGGUUGUGGCUAUAGCCCUCUAGUCUGUACAGUAUGUUAGGAUCCUUCAGCACAAGGGACUGCACAGAAAAUGGAGGUCAUUAUCACUGUUUAUUUUAGAAAUGCAAUUAAUAUUCACUUCCUCAUGUUCCCAGCACAACCCCCCCACCUUUUCAUGCUCUGCUGCCUUCUCUAGCUCUUAGCAUCUCCUGGACAGCAGUCUGGGGCUGCAUUGUGAAAGUUGUAUAUAAAAUAAAGUUUAUCAUCACUUGAAUGAAUGUGAAACUAACAAAU